rnacentral:misc_RNA from 1 species
GUGAAGUGAGUGUCGAAUCGAAGAGCGACAAUUUAGAGCUGUAUUUAUUUUAUCGAUAUUCUUUUCUUAUGACUUUGUUUUAGAAUAUGUGCAUGAAGUCAAGUGUCGAAUCAAGUCUCGAAUUGUGAUGUGUGAAGCGGUAAAUCCCCUUACAGAAUACCGAAUUCAUACUAUUAAAUGUCAACGUUCUCGCGCAACAGGGUUCAACUCGUCGCCGCACUCACAAGUUUUUAAUGAAUACGAAUUUGAUAUCUCACCGCGGAUUCCGCUGUCGAGACACGAA